rnacentral:rRNA from 1 species
AGUGAACGCUGGCGGUAGGCCUAACACAUGCAAGUCGAACGGCAGCACAGUAAGAGCUUGCUCUUACGGGUGGCGAGUGGCGGACGGGUGAGGAAUACAUCGGAAUCUACUUUUUCGUGGGGGAUAACGUAGGGAAACUUACGCUAAUACCGCAUACGACCUACCGGUGAAAGCAGUGGAUCUUCGGACCUUGCGCGAUUGAAUGAGCCGAUGUCGGAUUAGCUAGUUGGCGGGGUAAAGGCCCACCAAGGCGACGAUCCGUAGCUGGUCUGAGAGGAUGAUAAGCCACACUGGAACUGAGACACGGUCCAGACUCCUACGGGAGGCAGCAGUGGGGAAUAUUGGACAAUGGGCGCAAGCCUGAUCCAGCCAUACCGCGUGGGUGAAGAAGGCCUUCGGGUUGUAAAGCCCUUUUGUUGGGAAAGAAAAGCAGCAGGUUAAUACCCCGCUGUUCUGACGGUACCCAAAGAAUAAGCACCGGCUAACUUCGUG